GGAGAGGUGGCCGAGUGGUUGAAGGCGGCGGUCUCGAAAACCGCUGUGUCCGUUAGGGCACCGGAGGUUCGAAUCCUCCUCUCUCCGCCA
rnacentral:tRNA from 1 species